UGCUGACAGCCACAAUGAUGCCGGGGAAGAAAUGAUCGGAAAUAAAACAUCCAUUCGAGACGGUGUAUAUUUGGUCGACAUCAUAUUCAUAAUGCCAAAUAGUCUUUAAUAACGCUUAUUCCAUUUUGAAAUUUUGACUGAAGAAGUGGGAGUUCUGCGCGGGCUCAUCAUUCGAACUAUAACGGUCAUCUACCACUGUAUGCUGAGGAAAAGGGAUAAGCAUUUCAACACAGCCACAUCACCAAAUGGCAUUACACACUGUCCUUCCUGUGUGUUUGGCUUUUUCAGAACCUACAGUUCAAGUCUCCUUGAUUAACUGACAGGACAACUCUAUGUAUUUCAUCAAAAUACCAAAGUGUUUUUACUCAUACUGCUGUUUAGUCAGUUCAUCAACAUUUGAUUGGUUUUUCUACAUCUGUGUUACUAUAUCUGUGUUGUUUUGUUCAAACUAAUUUGCCAUUUAUUUGAAAGGGACAGCUCACCCAAAAACUUAAAUUCAGUCACAUGCGACUCAUGGCUCCUAGAAGAUUUUGCACAUACUUUAUGUUCUGAGGUGAAUAUAUCUGUUGUUUUCUGCCCAUCAGAACAACAAAUCAAGUUCUUGCAUUAUUUUGGUCUGGAGAUCUUCACCUCAUAAAAGACAAUAGAUGAGUAAUACUUUUGAGUUUUCUGAGAGUCAUGUUUUGCAGUGUUUUAAACCUUGAAAUUUUUACAAUGUUCAUCUUUCCUUGGUGAGCUGAAGUGAAAUGUUGAGCAAAUAUAUUCUCACAAACGCAGUCCUCCACACCAGACCAACAGAAUUUUUCAAAUAAAAAUUUGUUAGAUUUUUCACCAUUUCUUAAUUUCCCCUUUUGUGGUAUCAAAAAGAAAGGCCAUAUGGCAUAAGACAUAAGACAUAAGAGUAAAUAAUGACUGAAUUUUCAAUUUUGGGUGACCUUUAGCUUGGCAUUAGCCUUUGUGAGAUUAUUUGUCAAAAACCUUUUUAAAUUAAAAAAAAAUAAAUAAAUAAAUUAUGGUUAAAAAAAUAAUUAAAUUGAACACUACUAUUUUUGGACACCAUGGAUUUGUUUGUGAUUUGUAUCUCUCUUUCAUUCAUUCAUUUAGGACAAGUCUGAUGAGUGGAGAUGUUGCUGUGGCCCUCUUUACAGACGAUACAAAUUUCAUUACCAACCUGUGAAAAUCUCAUGUCAUUAUGGAAAUGUGACUCAAGUUGUUAUAGCUCUAAAUACAACACAGUUACAAAAGAGAUGAAUAAAUAUUGUGUUAAUUGUACUUAAUAGUGCCUCUCGGUGUACUUUCAGGUUCUAUGAACUUCAUGCCAUGGGAACUGUGAUUGAGUAACUUUUUAUUUAUUUAUUUAUGAACAAAUCUGAAAUGGCACAUUCCCAGUUAUUAUAGAGAUAGUUCACUCAAAAUUAAAAUUCUGUAAUUAAUUACUCACCCUCAUGUCGUUCAAAACCCAUAAGAUCUUCAUUCAUCUUUGGAACACAAAAUAAGAUAUUUUUGAUGAAAUCCGAGAGCUUUCUGACCCUGCAUAGAUAGCAAUGCAACUGAAAUGUUUAAAAAUAUCUCAAUUUGUGUUCCGAAGAAGAACGAAGAUCUUACUAAGAUCUAUUUGGAACAACAUGAGGGUGAGUAAUUAAUGACAGAAUUUUCAUUUUUGGACAAACUAUCCCUUUAAGAUUUAUAUAAAUGCUUUAGACUGUAGUUAUUCUUUUUAAAUUCUUCAUAAUAUGAAUAGUGUAUAAGGAUUGCUUAAUAAAACGUAAUGGAAUUUUACUAUACAAUUGAGGUC